rnacentral:rRNA from 1 species
CCCGUCACACCACGAAAGUUUGUUGUACCCGAAGUCGGUGCCUUAACCUCGCAAGAGGAGAGAGCCGCCCAAGGUAUGGCCGAUGAUUGGGGUGAAGUCGUAACAAGGUAGCCGUAGGGGAACCUGCGGCUGGAUCACCUCCUUUCUAGGAGAGAAGGGUCCUGGAUGAAGCGCUCCUAUUUAGUCUUGUGAAGGAUCCGAGUGGAAGCCGGGACCGGAGAAAGACCGGGCCUGUAGCUCAGAUGGUGAGAGCGCACGCCUGAUAAGCGUGAGGUCGAUAGUUCGAAUCUAUCCAGGCCCACCAUCUGCGGGGAUGUAGCUCAGUUGGGAGAGCGCCUGCUUUGCAAGCAGGAGGUCAGCGGUUCGAUCCCGCUCAUCUCCACCACGGAGAAGGGACACGGCCGGAGAGAAAGAGGUCCGGCGGAGAAGGAAG